AAACAACAGCACAUAUUUGUUAUCUCCAAAAGUUAUCUUUUAACGGUAGAAAAUCAAGUUAAUGCACUAAAAUAGUAACAAGCAAGUUCCAUUUGUCUGAUAAUGAACUUUAAACAUAAAAGAGAACAGCCACUAAACACAGAACUGCUGGUAAUACAAUACUAAAUUGAAAACUCUCAUUUUUCAAGAAUGGUAACACCAAAUAGAAAACUCUCAUUGUUGUCCAACUUCAGCCUUUUUCUUUUGCCAGAGCCUAUCAAGAGCACUAUCGGCGUCUCCCUGGGCGCGAAUAAAUCCACAGAGAGCAUAAGUGGUGAACUGGCCAGUGUAUCGGCCAGACUCAUCCAAAUGGCCAACAUUGAGCUGAACAGAUGCAUGAUCCUUGGAAGUUAUCAGCCUGUUAGUGGCAGAGCACUUCCUAGGGAUGUAAAGGUCCAUGUUUUGUCCUUCGUCGUUCUGCAUCUUGACAGUGGCUUUACACAAAUAGAUUUAGAAGUGGAGAACACCUGCAAGACUGACUGACGACAACAACGUAUGGCUUGUAAAGACCCUCUAAGGAUGU
rnacentral:misc_RNA from 1 species